GGUUAGCGGAUGCGGGGGAAAGCGGCGAACGGGUGAGUAACGCUUAGGUAACCUACCCCUUGGACUGAAACAGCUUCGAGAAAUCGGAGAUAAUGUCAGAUAUUCUUUCUUUGUGGGAUCACGGAGAAUGGAAAGACCUGCCGCAAGGCAAGUCACCGAGGGAUGGGCCUGAGGCCUAUCAGCUAGUUGGUGAGGUAACGGCUCACCAAGGCUAAGACGGGUAGCUGGUCUGAGAGGACGACCAGCCACACGGGGAUUGAGAUACGGCCCCGACUCCUACGGGAGGCAGCAGUGAGGAAUCUUGGACAAUGCCCGAAAGGGGUGAUCCAGCGACGCUGCGUGAGUGAUGAAGGCCCUCGGGUCUUAAAACUCUGUCGAGUGGGAAGAAUUCCGCUUCUGGCGGAUUGACGGUACCACUGGAGGAAGCCCCGGCUAAUCCCGUGCCAGCAGCCGCGGUAAGACGGGAGGGGCCAGCGUUACCCGGAAUUACUGGGUGUAAAGGGUCUGUAGGCGGCGGAAUGUGUCUGACUUGAAAUCCUCUGGCUCAACCAGAGAAUUGGGUCAGGGACUGUUUCGCUACGAGUUCGGAGGAGGAAAACGGAACUGCCGGUGUAGCGGUGAAAUGCGUAGAUAUCGGCAGGAACACCAGUGGCGAAGGCGGUUUUCUACUUCGAUACUGACGCUGAGGGACGAAAGCGUGGGGAGCGAUCGGGAUUAGAUACCCCGGUAGUCCACGCCGUAAACGAUGGAUGUUGGGUGUUGGUCCGGUAAAACGGAUCGGUGCCGAAGCUAACGCGUUAAACAUCCCACCUGGGGACUACGGCCGCAAGGCUGAAACCCAAAGGAAUUGACGGGGGCCCGCACAACCGGUGGAGUAUGUGGUUUAAUUCGAUGAUACGCGAGGAACCUUACCUGGGCUUGACAUGCUGGUGGUAGGACCCCGAAAGGGAGACGACCCGUCGCAAGACGGGAGCCUGCACAGGUGGUGCAUGGCUGUCGUCAGCUCGUGCCGUGAGGUGUUGGGUUAAGUUCCGAAACGAGCGCAACCCCUGCCUGUAGUUACUCGUUCGCAAGGACAGCACUCUACAGGGACUGCCGUGGUUAACACGGAGGAAGGUGGGGAUGACGUCAAGUCAUCACGCCCCUUAUGUCCAGGGCUACACACGUACUACAAUGGCCGAUACAGAGGGUCGCAGAACCGCAAGGCGAAGCAAAUCUCAGAAAGUCGGCCCCAGUUCGGAUUGUAGGCUGAAACUCGCCUGCAUGAAGCUGGAAUCGGUAGUAAUCGCGGAUCAGCUAUGCCGCGGUGAAUACGUUCUCGGGCCUUGUACACACCGCCCGUCACGCCAACUGAGUCGAGGAUACCUGAAGCCGCUUAUUCCAAUCCGCUUCGGCGGAAGGAGGGCGCCCA
rnacentral:rRNA from 1 species